ensembl:lncRNA
GACGGCUUCAAUCUAAUGAUACUUGUUUGGUGUCUUCUCUGGAAUGGUUGCUUGUAGGUUUUUUUGGCGGGUGUAAAUACUUUCCAACCAGUUCAAUGUUAGUUUUUAAACAACGGACCUGUAUACAGAACCAUUGACCUUCUCUUCCACUCAGCAGCCACUCGGUUGCUGAACACAACGAGCCCGAUGAAACCCUUGAAUGACAUUGCAGCGACGCCAGUCCACUUGGUGGCGGUCAGCAGGUGUGGAGCUGCAGAGGAGU